rnacentral:rRNA from 1 species
AUUCCAGACUCCUACGGGAGGCAGCAGUGGGGAAUAUUGCACAAUGGGGGAAACCCUGAUGCAGCGACGCCGCGUGAGCGAUGAAGUAUUUCGGUAUGUAAAGCUCUAUCAGCAGGGAAGAAGAUGACGGUACCUGACUAAGAAGCCCCGGCUAACUACGUGCCAGCAGCCGCGGUAAUACGUAGGGGGCAAGCGUUAUCCGGAUUUACUGGGUGUAAAGGGAGCGUAGACGGCGAUGCAAGCCAGAUGUGAAAGCCCGGGGCUCAACCCCGGGACUGCAUUUGGAACUGUGUGGCUGGAGUGUCGGAGAGGCAGGCGGAAUUCCUAGUGUAGCGGUGAAAUGCGUAGAUAUUAGGAGGAACACCAGUGGCGAAGGCGGCUUACUGGACUGUAACUGACGUUGAGGCUCGAAAGCGUGGGGAGCAAACAGGAUUAGAUACCCCUGUA